AGCAACCUAGUAGUAGUAACAUUAUUAUUUGAAACCACCACAUGCGCGUAAUCUGUACCUGUAUUAUAUUCCAUAUUAUUUUAUCUAUUUGUAUUGUUAUCUGUCUCAUGUACAGAUCAUCARCAUGAAGAAGACGACUUUAGGAUGACGAAUUGGUACAAUAGUAUGUUAACUGGUUAGAUAAUCCUAUAAGAAAAGUCCAAAGCUCAUGUCUCUAACAUAAUCCAUUUAAAAAUGAUUUGAGUUUUCUUAUCUGUGUGUCUCCCCCGAGCCCCUGGUCGUGCUGCUGAUCCCAUGCUUCUGGCUCGACUGCAGUUGUGGMCCCCUGGCCURAUUUCACCGGGCGUGCUACCUUGUCCCGAACGCCUGCUGAACGAGCUCAGCCAGUCUGUUGUUGCAGCUUGGUGGGUGGCCCUGGAGCUUUUCUCUGUGCACCAUGGACCUGUAUCAGCUGUUCAGAUCUUGCCAGGUGGUCAUAUAAGUAUUCUACACAUCAUGGCAACAUGCUCGACUGAGCCAUCUGUCACCAUGUCUAUAGACUUUAUGAAGGUUAUGGGGGUGAUGUCGUAGCCCAUCAGAUUUAAUAUUUUAUGCUGAUGUGUAAAAGUUAUAAAUUAGGAAGAUGGUGCUGUUCAGAAUGACAUUUUCGUGACUGUUGAUGUUCACAGAACUCUCCUAAUGCUAUGUUGAACGAGAACCACGGAGGAAGGCGGGGGAGGAAAACAGACAGCUUUCUCUCUACCACACCUUCAAAUCAAAUUGUAUUUGUCGCAUGCGCCGAAUACAACAGGUGUAGACCUUAC